rnacentral:lncRNA from 1 species
UUUCAAACCAGAAUUUGGUCUACACACAAAAGGAACAAAGAAGACGCAUCAAAAUGCGAAUAAAUGUGUGGAUGUUUUCCGCCUUCUAUUUGUUUAAUCUUUGUGGCACUAUUCAUCCCGUCAAAAGAAAGAAGAACUUCAUUUCUUCACGAAAUCUCACGUCGAGCAAUCUAAUUUCUUUUAGAAAAUAUCUCAGGACCAAACAUGAUUGUCGAUUGUCGAUUGCCGAUGAUGAGGAUAGUGGGCUCGUGGCGAUCCAAAUCGGUUAGUCCAUCCAAACCCACCAUGAUGUUAGCCCAGCCCAAUCAACGAUGGUUGAUCCAUCGCCACUGAGAG